rnacentral:rRNA from 1 species
UAGGGAAUCUUCGGCAAUGGACGGAAGUCUGACCGAGCAACGCCGCGUGAGUGAAGAAGGUUUUCGGAUCGUAAAGCUCUGUUGUAAGAGAAGAACGAGUGUGAGAGUGGAAAGUUCACACUGUGACGGUAUCUUACCAGAAAGGGACGGCUAACUACGUGCCAGCAGCCGCGGUAAUACGUAGGUCCCGAGCGUUGUCCGGAUUUAUUGGGCGUAAAGCGAGCGCAGGUGGUUAGAUAAGUCUGAAGUUAAAGGCUGUGGCUUAACCAUAGUACGCUUUGGAAACUGUUUAACUUGAGUGCAAGAGGGGAGAGUGGAAUUCCAUGCGUAGCGGUGAGAUGCGUAGAUAUAUGGAGGAACACCGGUGGCGAAAGCGGCUCUCUGGCUUGUAACUGACGCUGAGGCUCGAAAGCGUGGGGAGCAAACAGGAUUAGAUACCCUGGUAGUCCACGCCGUAAACGAUGAGUGCUAGGUGUUAGACCCUUUCCGGGGUUUAGUGCCGCAGCUAACGCAUUAAGCACUCCGCCUGGGGAGUACGACCGCAAGGUUG